rnacentral:misc_RNA from 1 species
AACCAUAUUGUCAUAAUUGAUAAUAGUGAAGGAUGAUUGAUGGAGGCAAAAUUUUGCUUUCCUACAUGAUUACUUUCUGUUUGUUUGUCAUUCUUUGUUUGCUUUGGAACUUUCUUGAUUGGUUUUGGAUUUGAAAACUUUUUUUGAUAAUUCAUCAUUCUAGCUGUCUCAUCAGUCAAGGUUUUUUACAAAUUUCCUUGAUAACAAAAUGUUGAAAUGCUUUGUAGAUUAGGGAACAAGAAGUAAAGUUUGGUAUUUUUGAAUUUGCUGCUAAGAUUUAGGUUUUAAAUACAUAUUUUGCAUUUCAAUUAAUGCUGAGGCACCUGUUUAUACUUUGCAUUCUUUCUGCUUCCAGAGAGCUGCAAACACAGGAUGGGGU